AUUGCUUAUCAUUUUGCAUCGAUCGAUCCUUCCUGUUUUAAGAUCAAGAAGCUGCUUUGGCUGUUCCGGAAACCAUAAAUGGCUAUUAGAUGCACAAGGUAACGCGAGGAUCCGCGAAUAUCCUUCGAACUCGAAGGAUAUCCUAUAACAGGGAGUGUCUCCUACCUUUUCUUUUAAUUUACGCUUUAAAUUUAUUUUAUUUUCUUGCAUAUCCCGGGACUUGCAUGCAUUAAUUUUGUUCCUAAAUUUUAUACUAACUUGUUUUUUAAGUGUUUUUAUUUUGUAGGUAAAGCUUAUGGGAGACGAGAGGAUGGGAGACGAGAGGAUCGGCGAAUAUCCUUCGAACUCGAAGGAUAUCCCAUAACAGGGAGUAUCUCAUACUUUUUCUUUUAAUUUACGCUUUCCAUUUAUUUUAUUUUCUUGCAUAUCCCGGGACUUGCAUGCAUUCAUUUUGUUCCUAAAUUUUAUACUAACUUGUUUUUUAAGUGUUUUUAUUUUGUAGGUAAAGCUUAUGGGAGACGAGAGGAUCGGCGAAUAUCCUUCGAACUCGAAGGAUAUCCCAUAAUAGGGAGUGUCUCCUACUUUUUCUUUUAAUUUACGCUUUAAAUUUAUUUUAUUUUCUUGCAUAUCCCGGGACUUGCAUGCAUUCAUUUUGUUCCUAAAUUUUAUACUAACUUGUUUUUUAAGUGUUUUUAUUUUGUAGGUAAAGCUUAUGGGAGACGAGAGGAUCGGCGAAUAUCCUUCGAACUCGAAGGAUAUCCCAUAAUAGGGAGUAUCUCCUACUUUUUCUUUUAAUUUACGCUUUAAAUUUAUUUUAUUUUCUUGCAUAUCCCGGGACUUGCAUGCAUUCAUUUUGUUCCUAAAUUUUAUACUAACUUGUUUUUUAAGUGUUUUUAUUUUGUAGGUAAAGCUUAUGGGAGACGAGAGGAUCGGCGAAUAUCCUUCGAACUCGAAGGAUAUCCCAUAAUAGGGAGUAUCUCCUACUUUUUCUUUUAAUUUACGCUUUAAAUUUAUUUUAUUUUCUUGCAUAUCCCGGGAAUUGCAUGCAUUAAUUUUGUUCCUAAAUUUUAUACUAACUUGUUUUUUAAGUGUUUUUAUUUUGUAGGUAAAGCUUAUGGGAGACGAGAGGAUCCGCGAAUAUCCUUCGAACUCGAAGGAUAUCCCAUAAUAGGGAGUAUCUCCUACUUUUUCUUUUAAUUUACGCUUUAAAUUUAUUUUAUUUUCUUGCAUAUCCCGGGACUUGCAUGCAUUAAUUUUGUUCCUAAAUUUUAUACUAACUUGUUUUUUAAGUGUUUUUAUUUUGUAGGUAAAGCUUAUGGGAGACGAGAGGAUCCGCGAAUAUCCUUCGAACUCGAAGGAUAUCCCAUAAUAGGGAGUAUUUCCUACUUUUUCUUUUAAUUUACGCUUUAAAUUUAUUUCAUUUUCUUGCAUAUCCCGGGACUUGCAUGCAUUAAUUUUGUUCCUAAAUUUUAUACUAACUUGUUUUUUAAGUGUUUUUAUUUUGUAGGUAAAGCUUAUGGGAGACGAGAGGAUCCGCGAAUAUCCUUCGAACUCGAAGGAUAUCCCAUAAUAGGGAGUAUCUCCUACUUUUUCUUUUAAUUUACGCUUUAAAUUUAUUUUAUUUUCUUGCAUAUCCCGGGACUUGCAUGCAUUCAUUUUGUUCCUAAAUUUUAUACUAACUUGUUUUUUAAGUGUUUUUAUUUUGUAGGUAAAGCUUAUGGGAGACGAGAGGAUCCGCGAAUAUCCUUCGAACUCGAAGGAUAUCCCAUAAUAGGGAGUAUCUCCUACUUUUUCUUUUAAUUUACGCUUUAAAUUUAUUUUAUUUUCUUGCAUAUCCCGGGACUUGCAUGCAUUCAUUUUGUUCCUAAAUUUUAUACUAACUUGUUUUUUAAGUGUUUUUAUUUUGUAGGUAAAGCUUAUGGGAGACGAGAGGAUCCGCGAAUAUCAUUCGAACCCUAUUUCAAACCCAAGAUGCAUAUGAGAGGGAGUGGCCGGAUGAUCGGACGACCGAACACAUCAG